UUCUUUGCUGGCGACCGGCGCACGGGUGAGUAACACGUAUCCAACCUGCCCUUUACUCGGGGAUAGCCUUUCGAAAGAAAGAUUAAUACCCGAUAGCAUAAUGAUUCCGCAUGGUUUCAUUAUUAAAGGAUUCCGGUAAAGGAUGGGGAUGCGUUCCAUUAGGUUGUUGGUGAGGUAACGGCUCACCAAACCGACGAUGGAUAGGGGUUCUGAGAGGAAGGUCCCCCACAUUGGUACUGAGACACGGACCAA
rnacentral:rRNA from 1 species